rnacentral:lncRNA from 1 species
UGACUUUGAAACAUCUUGCUAGCUAUCUUACGAUCAUGCAAUGGCAAUAUGAAAGUGACGGCACAUGUCAUGAGACAGAACGGUGGAGGUUGCAUGGCAAAAUAUCUCUGAAUGGCUAUGAAUAUGUCAUAAUAGGUAGGUAUGGUAUCUGUUUUGAGGAAGGUAUAUGGUGGGUUUGUGCACCGGCGAAAGUUACACGGUACUAUAGAGGCUAGCAAUGGUGGAAGGGUGAGAGUGCAUCUAUACCAUGAACUUACAUUAGUCAUGAAGAACUCAUAUACU